rnacentral:rRNA from 1 species
UCAGGCCUAACACAUGCAAGUCGAGCGAGGACUUCGGUCCUAGCGGCGGACGGGUGAGUAACGCGUGGGAACGUGCCCUUUGCUUCGGAAUAGCCCUGGGAAACUGGGAGUAAUACCGGAUGAGCCCUACGGGGGAAAGAUUUAUCGGCGAAGGAUCGGCCCGCGUUGGAUUAGGUAGUUGGUGGGGUAAUGGCCUACCAAGCCGACGAUCCAUAGCUGGUUUGAGAGGAUGAUCAGCCACACUGGGACUGAGACACGGCCCAGACUCCUACGGGAGGCAGCAGUGGGGAAUCUUAGACGAUGGGGGAAACCCUGAUCUAGCCAUGCCGCGUGAGCAAAGGAGGCCUUAGGGUUGUAAAGCUCUUCAGCGGGAAG